UCUGCCCAUGACAGGAGGGUUGGAACUAGUUGAUCUUUAAGGUCCCUUCCAACCCAAACCCUUCUGUGAUUCUAAAUUUUGUGGAUGUUCUGUAAAAGAAUUCUGACUUUUAAGAAUGACUGUCGGAAAGGUUUCCAUUAUUUCCUGCAGGGAGACAGAUUAGAGAACAGCAUAGAGAACAGCAACAGAGUUCAGGCAGCUUCAGUCAGAUUUCUAGGACUCCUGAAACCAUAAAUGUUUUCACAGUAACACAUGAAAAGCAAGAGCAAAAAGAGAAAUGUGGUGCUGCUCACAGCUUUUCUGAAGCCAGCAGUGAGGAUGCAACUGUUGGUCUGGAGAUGUUUUCCCAGACUAAAAACUCACACCUGCCUAAGGACUGUUUUGGAGAAAAUUGUGGUAAAUGUGUCCCAUGUUGUGUAGUGGAUAUCACUAAAUUUCCAGGCAGA